CCUACGGGUGGCAGCAGUGAGGAAUAUUGGUCAAUGGGCUUACGCCUGAACCAGCCAAGUCGCGUGAGGGAAGAAUGCCCUAUGGGUUGUAAACCUCUUUUGCCAGGGAGCAACGCCGGCUACGUGUAGCCGGACUGAGAGUACUUGAAGAAAAAGCAUCGGCUAACUCCGUGCCAGCAGCCGCGGUAAUACGGAGGAUGGGAGCGUUAUCCGGAUUUAUUGGGUUAAAAGGGUGCGUAGGCGGAAUGCCAAGUCAGCGGUAAAAUCGCGGGGCUCAACCUCGAUCCGCCGUUGAAACUGGCGUUCUUGAGUGGGCGAGAGGGAGGUAGAAUGCGUGGUGUAGCGGUGAAAUGCAUAGAGAUCACGCAGAACACCGAUUGCGAAGGCAGCAUACCGGCGCCAAACUGACGCUGAGGCGCGAAAGCGUGGGUAUCGAACAGGAUUAGAUACCCUAGUAGUC
rnacentral:rRNA from 1 species